GACAGAGGUGGCAAGCGUUGUUCGGAUUUACUGGGCGUAAAGAGUGCGUAGGUGGUGAGGUAAGACCUGUGGGAAAGACCUGGGCUUAACCCAGGAAGGUCGCAAGUGACUGCCUUGCUUGAGGACGGGAGAGGAGAGCGGAAUUCCCGGUGUAGCGGUGAAAUGCGUAGAUAUUGGGAGGAACACCAGUGGCGAAGGCGGCUACCUGGACCGGUUCUGACGCUGAGGCGCGAAAGCGUGGGUAGCAAACAGG
rnacentral:rRNA from 1 species